rnacentral:rRNA from 1 species
UGGGGAAUAUUGGACAAUGGGCGCAAGCCUGAUCCAGCCAUGCCGCGUGAGUGAUGAAGGCCCUAGGGUUGUAAAGCUCUUUCACCGGUGAAGAUAAUGACGGUAACCGGAGAAGAAGCCCCGGCUAACUUCGUGCCAGCAGCCGCGGUAAUACGAAGGGGGCUAGCGUUGUUCGGAUUUACUGGGCGUAAAGCGCACGUAGGCGGACUUUUAAGUCAGGGGUGAAAUCCCGGGGCUCAACCCCGGAACUGCCUUUGAUACUGGAAGUCUUGAGUAUGGUAGAGGUGAGUGGAAUUCCGAGUGUAGAGGUGAAAUUUGUAGAUAUUCGGAGGAACACCAGUGGCGAAGGCGGCUCACUGGACCAUUACUGACGCUGAGGUGCGAAAGCGUGGGGAGCAAACAGG